UAAAACCGUAUUUAAUUAUCCUGCAGUGAAAAACAAAAACAAAGUAUUUCUAAAAUUUGUUUUAAUGUUUAAAGCUUUACAAAGCAUUGAAAAAAUAAGUUAAUGUGUUUUUAGGCUCAGUGAUUAGUCUCAAUGUGUAACAAUAAACUAUAGUAAUAAACAAUUAUCUUUAUCUGAUUUUCUACAUCAAUCCGGCUAUGGAUUUCUUUUAUGUUUAUGAUUUGAUCUCAGAAACGCCAUUUGCAGACCUCCUCUUCCUAUCCGAGCGUUGCCUAAUGCUCGUUUAUUUUAUGCAAGAUAUGGCACUAGUGUAUGUAAAAAUAGAGUAAAAAUGGAUGAAAGCACUAAAGAAAGAAACUGAUGCAAACUAAUACAGAAUUUUGUCAUGCGAUCACAGUUGUGUAGUCAGAGAACUAUUGACAAAGAAUUGAACGAAAAACCGUCAAACAGUAAUGAAUCAAAUCAUUAUAUAACAAUAGUUUUUUGUUGCUUAAGAGUAUUAUUAAAGUCAAAUCUGUUUUUUAAACGAAUUCAUAUAGAGUAAAAACGGGUCAAAUCGAUCACUGAACAAAAUAAAUCAAGUAACUUUUUUAUCUUAAAAAAUUUUUAAACUUUUUUUUUUUUAAAUAAGAUAGAAAAUACCAAC